rnacentral:rRNA from 1 species
UAAUACGAACUGUGCAAACGUUAUUCGGAAUCACUGGGCUUAAAGGGUGCGCAGGCGGUCUGCUAAGCAGGGUGUGAAAGCCCCCGGCUCAACCGGGGAAUUGCGCCCUGAACUGGCAGGCUUGAGUGAGAUAGAGGUGUGGGGAACUUCCGGUGGGGCGGUGAAAUGUGUUGAUAUCGGAAGGAACGCCAGAGGCGAAAGCGCCACACUGGGUCUCAACUGACGCUGAGGCACGAAAGCCAGGGGAGCAAACGG